AAACCCUUCGAAAANCCAACUCAUUACCCUGUGAACAUACCUAAACGUUGCUUCGGCGGGAAUAGACGGCCCCGUGAAACGGGCCGCCCCCGCCAGAGGACCCUUAACUCUGUUUCUAUAAUGUUUCUUCUGAGUAAAACAAGCAAAUAAAUUAAAACUUUCAACAACGGAUCUCUUGGCUCUGGCAUCGAUGAAGAACGCAGCGAAAUGCGAUAAGUAAUGUGAAUUGCAGAAUUCAGUGAAUCAUCGAAUCUUUGAACGCACAUUGCGCCCGCCAGUAUUCUGGCGGGCAUGCCUGUUCGAGCGUCAUUACAACCCUCAGGCCCCCGGGCCUGGCGUUGGGGAUCGGCGGAGCCUCUCUGUGGGCACACGCCGUCCCCCAAAUACAGUGGCGGUCCCGCCGCAGCUUCCAUCGCGUAGUAGCUAACACCUCGCGACUGGAGAGCGGCGCGGCCACGCCGUAAAACACCCAACUCUUCUGAAGUUGACCUCGAAUCAGGUAGGAAUACCCGCUGAACUUAAGCAUAUCAAUAAGCGGAGAAUCUG
rnacentral:rRNA from 1 species